AGGGUUUGAUCCUGGCUCAGAGUGAACGCUGGCGGCGUGGAUUAGGCAUGCAAGUCGAGCGAUCCUAUUUUUAUGAUUGGAUGAACUUUCGGGGGAUUCCAUGAUUGAUUUUUUGGAUAGCGGCAAACCGGUGAGUAACACGUAGGCAACGUACCUUGAGGAGAGGCAUAGCUUCGGGAAACCGGAGGUAAUACCUCAUGUGCUCUAUGGCUGAAAUGCCAUAGAGGAAAGAUGGCCUCUAUUUAUAAGCUAUCACCUUUUGAGCGGCUUGCGCACUAUUAGAUUGUUGGUGAGGUAAUGGCUCACCAAGUCAAAGAUGGUUAGCUGGCGUAAGAGCGUGGUCAGCCACAUCGGAACUGAGACACUGUCCGGACUCCUACGGGAGGCUGCAGUCGAGAAUCUUUCCCAAUGGACGAAAGUCUGAGGAUGCGACGCCGCGUGGGGGAUGAAGGCCUUCGGGUCGUAAACUCCUUUUAUCAAGGAGGAACGCUACUUUGCGAAUAGUGAUGUAGCUUGACUGUACUUGAUGAAUAAGCCACGGCUAACUCCGUGCCAGCAGCCGCGGUAAUACGGAGGUGGCAAGCGUUACUCGGUUUGACUGGGUGUAAAGGGUCUGUAGGCGGUCAAAUAAGUGUCAGGUGAAAUCUUUCGGCUUAACCGAAAAAUUGCCUGUCAAACUAUUUGACUUGAGGUUGGAAGGGGAGAGUAGAACUGCUAGUGUAAAGGUGAAAUUUGUGGAUAUUAGCAGGAAUGCCCGUGGAGAAGUCGGCUCUCUGGUCCAAUCCUGACGCUGAAAGACGAAAGCUAGGGGAGCGAACAGGAUUAGAUACCCUGGUAGUCCUAGCCGUAAACGAUGAGCACUAGGUGUCUGUCCCUUAGGGAUGGGUGCCGUAGGUAACCUGAUAAGUGCUCCACCUGGGGACUACGGUCGCAAGACUAAAACUCAAAGGAAUUGACGGGGGCCCGCACAAGCGGUGGAACACGUGGUUUAAUUCGAUGCUACGCGAGGAACCUUACCAAGGCUUGACAUGCUAGAAGUAGUAACCCGAAAGGGUGUCCGACCGGUAUCCAGUCCGGUACUAGCACAGGUGCUGCAUGGUUGUCGUCAGCUCGUGCCGUGAGGUGUUCCCUUAAGUGGGAGAACGAGCGCAACCCUCGCCAUCUGUUGCCACCGACUUAGAUUUAUCUAAGUCGAGCACUCUGAUGGGACUGCCCGCGUUAAGUGGGAGGAAGGUGGGGACGACGUCAAAUCCGCAUGGCCCUUAUGCCUUGGGCUACACACGUGUUACAAUGCCUGGUACAAUGGGAGGCUAAGUCGUGAGAUGGAGCAAAUCCUACAAAACCAGGCCCAGUUCGGAUUGAAGGCUGAAACUCGCCUUCAUGAAGCUGGAAUCGCUAGUAAUGGCAGAUCAGCUACGCUGCCGUGAAUACGUUCCCGGGCCUUGUACACACCGCCCGUCAAGCGCUGAAAGUGGGGGGCGCCCGAAGCUCUACUUAGGUAGAACCACGGUGAACUUCAUGAUUGGCGCUAAGUCGUAACAAGGUA
rnacentral:rRNA from 1 species